CCUACGGGUGGCAGCAGUGGGGGAUAUUGCACAAUGGGGGGAACCCUGAUGCAGCGACGCCGCGUGGGUGAAGAAGCGCCUCGGCGCGUAAAGCCCUGUCAGCAGGGAAGAAAAUGACGGUACCUGAAGAAGAAGCCACGGCUAACUACGUGCCAGCAGCCGCGGGAAUACGUAGGGGGCAAGCGUUAUCCGGAUUUACUGGGUGUAAAGGGGGCGCAGACGGCGAGGCAAGCCAGGAGGGAAAGCCCCGGGCUCAAACCGGGGACUGAAGUUGGAACUGCGUGGCUGGAGUACAGGAGGGGCAGGCAGAAUUCCUGGUGUAGCGGUGAAAUGCGUAGAUAUCAGGAGGAACACCGGUGGCGAAGGCGGCCUGCUGGACUGCAACUGACGUUGAGGCCCGAAAGCGUGGGGAGCAAACAGGAUUAGAUACCCCGGUAGUC
rnacentral:rRNA from 1 species